UUGGGGAAUUUAGGAGCCGUUCACCCUAGUUAAUCCUAUGGUGGGAAAAUCAGUAGUACUGAAAAGAACUGAAAAUUAAGUACUGGAAAGUACUGGUAAGUACUGAAAUUAUUUAUUUAUUUUAAUUUAAUAAAAGGGCAGUUAUGUAAUUCACGUCCAGAUGCACUCCAUCCUCUGACUUCUCCCUCCUCUCGUCGCCGCUCCAUCCCAUUCCCAUCGCACCAUGGAGUCGGCCGCCGCCCUGUCGCCUCCCCUGGCCGCCUCCCUGAUGCUGACGCCCCGUUCUCCCCUCCCAACACAACCCCCUCCCCGCCGGAAUACUGCCUCGCCGCCCGUCCGCGCUCGCUCACUACCACCACCCCCUAGCCCCUGCAAAAAUUCCCCUUCCCGACAGCCCUCUCUGGCCGCCACUCCGGCACCGUGCUGGACGGUGGCCACACCUCGUACCGUGCCGUGCAGCUCCGCGCGGGAUUCGUUGCCCAUGACGACGUGAUCCACCCGCAGCUCAUCGCCUGCAAGACGUGGAGCUCUCCAACUACCUCCAGGUCACCACCGGUGGACCGCCGGGGCGAGGCAAAGUAGUUGUAGCCAGAUGUAGCCAUCGAGCGUGGCAUAGAAGUUGCGGGUGUCCGGGCCGCCACAGGACUAGCCGCCUGCUCUACAUCGCGCCAGGCCAAGGCAGACGAGGUGGAGCCCAUGGUAGCCGCCAAGCGCGGUGUCGAAGUUGGGGGUGGCCAGCGCGACGUGUCAGAGGCACUGGUGGCGGUGACGAUGAUGAUCAGGUGCUAUCUCAGCAAGAAUGGUUGCUUCGCCAAGGUGAAUGGAUCCCCGUCCUGAAUGGAGCUAGUGUUCGUUGAUUACAAUGGUUGCUUGACCAAGGUGAAUGGAUCCCUGUCCUGAAUGGAGCUAGUGUUCGUUGAUUACAAUGGUUGCUUGGCCAAGGGACCAUGGAUUCAAAGGUGUGUCACAACAAUGUGGGGGUGGAUACACAUGUGCAUCACGAGGGUGACGAUAUGGACAAGAGGGUGCAGUGCGAGCGUGAUGAGAUGGACAAGAAGGUGAGGCAAGAAAUUGCAGCCAUGGACAGGGUGAUGAAGCAGGAGUGCAAGAAGCUGGAGCGGAAGUUCAAAAGCACGAGGAGAUGGACCGGAAGGUGAUGGAAGAACAUCCGGCCACGGAUCGGGUGUUGAAGUAGGAGCAUGAGAAAUUGGAGAAAGAUGGGUCGUCACCAAGGACGGAGCAACCUGAACUGAACACUCAUAAGAGGGCAUUGAACUUUAUCAGUUCCGAUGAGCACAUGCACACAUAGUCUCUACUCUUGUUGACAAAAACUGUAAUUCAACCACUCAUCUUUGUUCACUUUACCCUACACAGAUUACUCUACUCCUAUUUGUGAUUUUACAGAUGAUAUUUGGGUGCUAUUUUUUAGUAUUUUUAUUCUGAACAAAUGUGGGUGCGAAUGGUUAAAACUUUUAUGAGCAGUUCAACUGCUAGAUUGUUUUCAUAA